rnacentral:rRNA from 1 species
UAUGUGAUCGUCUCUCGCAUAUCAAUAAGCGGAGGAAAAGAAACUAACAAGGAUUCCCCUAGUAACGGCGAGUGAAGCGGGAAGAGCUCAAAUUUGAAAUCUUAAGGGUUUCCCUUUACGAAUUGUAGUUUAAAGAAGUGUUUUCUGUUGAGGUUUUGGUAAAAGUUCUUUGGAAUAGGACAUCAUAGAGGGUGAGAAUCCCGUAUUUGACCAUUACUUUCAGCUUUGUGAUACACUUUCAAAGAGUCGGAUUGUUUGGGAAUGCAGUCCAAAAUGGGUGGUAAAUUUCAUCUAAAGCUAAAUAUUGGCGAGAGACCGAUAGCGAACAAGUACCGUGAGGGAAAGAUGAAAAGAACUUUGAAAAGAGAGUUAAACAGUACGUGAAAUUAUCAAAAGGGAAGCGUUUGACACCAGUGUUGUUUUUCUGAAAAUCAAUUAAAGAACUGUUUAUGCUAAGUUGUUUAGACUUUAUCAGCUAUCUGUUUAGUUUUGAGCUUUUCUUUAAUGCACUUUUCAGUUAACAAGUCAACAUCAAUUUCUUUUGCUGUAAAAAAGCUUGAGGAAGGUGGCUUGAGAUUCGUCUUAAGUGUUUAUAGCCUCUUGCCUAUGCAGUCGGAGAGAUUGAGGUCUGCAGCGUAGAUCCUUCGGGGCUAAAUGCAUUUGUGCUAAGUUAUAGCAUUUUAUAGACAACUUGUUGACUAUGAUUUGUCUUGUAGCUUACUCGCUUAUGUUAUUUUACCUACGCUUAGGAUGUUGAAGUCAUCGUAUCGCGC